rnacentral:rRNA from 1 species
UACGAGGGAUCCUAGCGUUGCUCGGAAUUAUUGGGCGUAAAGCGGGCGUAGGUGGCUUGGUAAGUCGGGGGUGAAAGCCCAGGGCUCAACCCUGGAAGUGCAUUCGAUACUACUGAGCUUGAGUGCGAGAGAGGUUAAUAGAAUACCUGGUGUAGUGGUGAAAUACGUAGAUAUCAGGUGGAACACCGGAGGCGAAGGCGGUUAACUGGCUCGACACUGACACUGAGACCCGAAAGUGCGGGGAUCAAACAGG